rnacentral:rRNA from 1 species
UACGUAGGGGGCAAGCGUUGUCCGGAGUUACUGGGCGUAAAGCGCACGCAGGCGGUCUCUUAAGUUUGGAGUGACAGUUGGUGGCUUAACUGCCAAAGUGCUUCGAAAACUGAGAGACUUGAGGGCUUCAGAGGGACACGGAAUUCCGGGUGGAGUGGUGAAAUGCGUAGAGAUCCGGAGGAACACCAAAGGCGAAGGCAGUGUCCUGGGGAGUACCUGACGCUCAGGUGCGAAAGCCAGGGGAGCGAAUGGG